rnacentral:ncRNA from 12 species
ACAACCUCAACUCAUAUGGGACUAC